rnacentral:rRNA from 1 species
CCUACGGGAGGCAGCAGUGGGGAAUAUUGCGCAAUGGGGGCAACCCUGAUGCAGCAACGCCGCGUGAUUGAAGACGGCCUUCGGGUUGUAAAGCUCUUUCAUCGGGGACGAAUUUUGACGGUACCCGACGAAUAAGCUCCGGCUAACUACGUGCCAGCAGCCGCGGUAAUACGUAGGGAGCAAGCGUUAUCCGGAUUUACUGGGUGUAAAGGGAGUGUAGGCGGGCAUGCAAGCCAGAAGUGAAAUCUGGGGGCUUAACCUGCGAACUGCUUUUGAAACUGUGUGUCUGGAGUGAUGGAGAGGCAGGCGGAAUUCCCAGUGUAGCGGUGAAAUGCGUAGAUAUUAGGAGGAACACCAGUGGCGAAGGCGGCCUACUGGACAGUAACUGACGCUGAGGCGCGAAAGCGUGGGGAGCAAACAGGAUUAGAUACCCGAGUAGUC